GCUGUCAUGGCUCAGUGGUUAAGGCGAUGAACUAGAAAUUCGUUGGGGUCUCCCCGCACAGGUUCGAAUCCUGUAGACUGCG
rfam:Ixodes scapularis strain Wikel colony gcontig_1108379446263, whole genome shotgun sequence.